rnacentral:rRNA from 1 species
AACGAACGCUGGCGGCAGGCCUAACACAUGCAAGUCGAACGAAGUCUUCGGACUUAGUGGCGGACGGGUGAGUAACACGUGGGAACGUGCCUCUAGGUUCGGAAUAACUCAGGGAAACUUGUGCUAAUACCGAAUGUGCCCUUCGGGGGAAAGAUUUAUCGCCUUUAGAGCGGCCCGCGUCUGAUUAGCUAGUUGGUGAGGUAAAGGCUCACCAAGGCGACGAUCAGUAGCUGGUCUGAGAGGAUGAUCAGCCACAUUGGGACUGAGACACGGCCCAAACUCCUACGGGAGGCAGCAGUGGGGAAUCUUGCGCAAUGGGCGAAAGCCUGACGCAGCCAUGCCGCGUGAAUGAUGAAGGUCUUAGGAUUGUAAAAUUCUUUCACCGGGGACGAUAAUGACGGUACCCGGAGAAGAAGCCCCGGCUAACUUCGUGCCAGCCGCCGCAGUAA